UAGGGAAUCUUCCACAAUGGACGAAAGUCUGAUGGAGCAACGCCGCGUGAGUGAAGAAGGGUUUCGGCUCGUAAAACUCUGUUGUUAAAGAAGAACAUAUCUGAGAGUAACUGUUCAGGUAUUGUCGGUAUUUAACCAGAAAGCCACGGCUAACUACGUGCCAA
rnacentral:rRNA from 1 species